GAUGAACGCUAGCGGCAGGCCUAACACAUGCAAGUCGAGGGGCAGCAUAGGGUAGCAAUACUCUGAUGGCGACCGGCAAACGGGUGAGUAACGCGUAUGCAACCUACCCUGUACAGGGGGAUAACCCGGAGAAAUUCGGACUAAUAUCCCGUAAUAAUAUCCGGAGGCAUCUUUGGAUAUUUAAAGUUCCGACGGUACGGGAUGGGCAUGCGUAACAUUAACUGGUUGGUAAGGUAACGGCUUACCAAGGCUAUGAUGUUUAGGGGUCCUGAGAGGGUGGUCCCCCACACUGGUACUGAGACACGGACCAGACUCCUACGGGAGGCAGCAGUGAGGAAUAUUGGUCAAUGGGCGCAAGCCUGAACCAGCCAUCCCGCGUGCAGGAAGACGGCCCUAUGGGUUGUAAACUGCUUUUCCAGGGAGAGAAACUUACGCACGUGUUGCGUGACUGACGGUACCCUGGGAAUAAGCAUCGGCUAACUCCGUGCCAGCAGCCGACGGUAAACGUCUA
rnacentral:rRNA from 1 species